UCCGGUUUGUCACCGGCAGUCUCUGGGAGCUUCCCGCGUAUGUCAAACCCAGGUAAGGUUCUUCGCGUUGCAUCGAAUUAAUCCGCAUGCUCCGCCGCUUGUGCGGGCCCCCGUCAAUUCCUUUGAGUUUUAGCCUUGCGGCCGUACUCCCCAGGCGGGGCGCUUAAUGCGUUAGCUGCGGCACGGAACCCGUGGAAUGGAUCCCACACCUAGCGCCCAACGUUUACGGUGUGGACUAC
rnacentral:misc_RNA from 1 species